UACGUAGGGGGCAAGCGUUGUCCGGAAUUAUUGGGCGUAAAGCGCGCGCAGGCGGUCUGUUAAGUCUUGUGUUUAAGCCCGGGGCUCAACCCCGGUACGCAUGGGAAACUGGGAGACUGGAGUGCAGGAGAGGAAAGUGGAAUUCCACGUGUAGCGGUGAAAUGCGUAGAGAUGUGGAGGAACACCAGUGGCGAAGGCGACUUUCUGGCCUGUAACUGACGCUGAGGCGCGAAAGCGUGGGGAGCAAACAGG
rnacentral:rRNA from 1 species